rnacentral:rRNA from 1 species
UACAGAGGUCUCAAGCGUUGUUCGGAAUUACUGGGCGUAAAGGGCGCGCAGGCGGCUGCUCAAGUCAGGCGUGAAAGGCCUGGGCUCAACCCGGGAAUUGCGCUUGAGACUGGGCUGGCUUGAGUGCGGGAGAGGUGAGUGGAACUCCGAGUGUAGAGGUGAAAUUCGUAGAUAUUCGCAAGAACACCAGUGGCGAAGGCGGCUCACUGGCCCGAUACUGACGCUGAGGCACGAAAGCGUGGGGAGCAAACAGG